AAGUCGUAACAAGGUUUCCGUAGGUGAACCUGCGGAAGGAUCAUUAUCACGUAUCCACGUAUAAACCAUUGUGAACCGUAACUAACGCCUUUAGAGUGAAGACCAAGAUAGUGUGUAUUAAACAUUUAAGCAGUUUUUGUGAUUAACUGUGUUUGAUAUGCCACAGCUGACUGGCUCCGGCCUAUCAAUUGUACUUGCUUUCUCUGAAGUGUAUUAAUCACUACUUAUUAACCAUUACAACCCAUCUUUAUAAUUUUGAACUAACCAAUUUCCUACUCUUUUCGGAGAGAUGAAAUUAAUUACGAAACAAAGAACAACUCUUAGCAACGGAUAUCUUGGUUCUCGUAACGAUGAAGAACGCAGCGAAAUGCGAUACGUAAUGCGAAUUGCAGAAUUCAGUGAAUCAUCAAAUCUUUGAACGCAAAUUGCGCUUUCUGGAUAGGCCAGGGAGCAUACCUCUUUGAGUCUCGUUUCUACCUCAUCUCGGCAGCUUGCUGCUGGAUAAUGAGAGUCUCAUUCGAAAUGAGUGAGUCUCUUUAAGAAGCGUGAGUUCCUAAACUCCUAGUAUUAAAUCAGCAAUGGUUGCCCUCUAUUGGGUUUCUCUUUACUAGUGAUGUGGAUAAAUUUAUUUUUCUAACGUCAUUGGUGAUCUGAGACGCGAUUCUGUGGUCAAGAUACAUAAGGAAACUUGGUUCUCAAUGGAAAUUAAAUUUAUUUUUGAAUUAGAGCUCNAAUGAGUNAGAUUACCCCGCUGAACUUAAGCAUNUNNNNNGAGAAAAGAAACUANANNGGAUGCCNUCAGUACGNCGAGUGAAGCGGGCAANGCUCAACCUGAAAAUCGGAUUCCCAAACGGGAUUUCGAAUUGUGGGCUACAGAUGCGAGAUCAGCGUGUUACCCUGGUAUAAGUGAGUCUUAUUGGAAUACUACAUCAUAGAGGGUGAAAAUCCCGUCUGUGACCAGGAGUUAGCCGCGUACGAUCCGUAUUCGCAGAGUCGCGUUGUUUGGGAUUGCAGCGCUAAAUGGGAGGUAAAUUUCUUCUAAAGCUAAAUAUCGACGAGAGACCGAUAGCGAACAAGUACCGUGAGGGAAAGAUGAAAAGAACUUUGAAAAGAGAGUUAAAAAGUACUUGAAAUUGCUAAGAAGGAAGCACUGGAAACCAGUCAUGUUUAUGUACAAAAACUUUCGCUCCUCGAGUGGAUUGGUGUGGAGAGCCCAAAGCCUCCUAUCUGGUUCAUAAAAGCGCGUUUGUAGCUGUCCGUAGACAGAGUCAGAAUCAAUUAAAUCCGUGAGAGAAAGCUAUGAUAACGGUAGGAUUCUUUGUAGCAAUACGAAGGAACUGUUUAGUAUCGUAGUCCUAUCAUGGGUCUGAUUGAGGUACCAUCUUAAUGCGGAUCGCGGUUCCCUGCGUCUGGAGGCAGAGGGAGAUUGGACAACAAAGUUGUGCGUUUCCUGAAGUUUCUACUACAAAGGCUGAANCAGUUGCAGCAUUCGAGAUNCUGACGAAAUGGUUUUCAUUGACCCGUCUUGAAACACGGACC
rnacentral:rRNA from 1 species